rnacentral:SRP_RNA from 1 species
GCCAGGCGUGGUGGUGGUGCCUGUAGACCCAGCUACUUGGAAAGCUGAGGCAGGAGGAUCGCUUGAGCCUCAGAGUUCUGGGCUGUAGUGUGCUGUAUCAAUCGGGUGUCUGCACUAAGUUCAGCAUCAAUAUAGUGACCCUUGGGAGUAGGGACCACCAGAUUACCUAAGAAGGGUCAAUCAACCCAGGACAAAAACAAAGUAGGUUGAAACUCAUGCUGAUCAGUAGUGGGAUCUCACCUGUGAAUAGCCAAUGCACUCCAGCCUGGGCAACAUAGCAAGACCCCAUCUCU